rnacentral:rRNA from 1 species
UAGGGAAUCUUCCGCAAUGGACGCAAGUCUGACGGAGCAACGCCGCGUGAGUGAAGAAGGAUUUCGGUUCGUAAAACUCUGUUGUUAGAGAAGAACAGCGCAUAGAGUAACUGUUAUGCGUGUGACGGUAUCUAACCAGAAAGCCACGGCUAACUACGUGCCAGCAGCCGCGGUAAUACGUAGGUGGCAAGCGUUGUCCGGAUUUAUUGGGCGUAAAGCGAGCGCAGGCGGUCAAUUAAGUCUGAUGUGAAAGCCCCCGGCUCAACCGGGGAGGGUCAUUGGAAACUGGUUGACUUGAGUGCGGAAGAGGAGAGUGGAAUUCCAUGUGUAGCGGUGAAAUGCGUAGAUAUAUGGAGGAACACCAGUGGCGAAGGCGACUCUCUGGUAUGUAACUGACGCUGAGGCUCGAAAGCGUGGGGAGCAAACAGG